GAUGAACGCUGGCGGCGUGCCUAAUACAUGCAAGUCGAGCGAACAGACGAGGAGCUUGCUCCUCUGACGUUAGCGGCGGACGGGUGAGUAACACGUGGAUAACCUACCUAUAAGACUGGGAUAACUUCGGGAAACCGGAGCUAAUACCGGAUAAUAUAUUGAACCGCAUGGUUCAAUAGUGAAAGACGGUUUUGCUGUCACUUAUAGAUGGAUCCGCGCCGCAUUAGCUAGUUGGUAAGGUAACGGCUUACCAAGGCAACGAUGCGUAGCCGACCUGAGAGGGUGAUCGGCCACACUGGAACUGAGACACGGUCCAGACUCCUACGGGAGGCAGCAGUAGGGAAUCUUCCGCAAUGGGCGAAAGCCUGACGGAGCAACGCCGCGUGAGUGAUGAAGGGCUUCGGAUCGUAAAACUCUGUUAUUAGGGAAGAACAAAUGUGUAAGUAACUAUGCACGUCUUGACGGUACCUAAGCAGAAAGCCACGGCUAACUACGUG
rnacentral:rRNA from 1 species